rfam:Saprolegnia parasitica CBS 223.65 unplaced genomic scaffold supercont2.30, whole genome shotgun sequence.
UACCUGGUGUUUUUCAACACCACCCAACGACUGAGAAAUAUUUAU